AUUUCAUUUCAUUAUGCGGUAUUCAGUAGUUAUCUGUCCAUUAUUCUCUAGGUAUAUGGUGGAUAGGGUGCGAUGUAAUUGUAUUCAUUAGAAUAUUAUUUAAUUUCUACUAUUAUUAUUUAAAUUAUAUUUAUUUAUAUCUCAAUUCCUGCAGAUAUGGUACCAGGAGACAAACGAUGACGUUCGCGUUCACAGCUCCCUGC
rnacentral:lncRNA from 1 species